UGGUGGUGCCCCGUGACAACGGGGUUAAAAGGGAACCCGGUGAGGCGCCGUGCGCCGAAUCCGGGGCUGUGCCCGCAACUGUGAGCGGCGAGCCCGCGUUCCAUCGUCCACUGGGGUCGCGUGAGCCCCCGGGAAGGCCGGAACGUCGAGCGGCGAGGACCCGCGAGCCAGGAAACCUGCCACCAC
rnacentral:ncRNA from 1 species